AUUCACUUAAACUUGUGUGGCCUGCCUGGCUCCUGGCUCCUGGUGUCUAACCCACAUAAAGAACAAGGGAAUUACAGCAUUGUGGAAAGCCCUGUAACAUAUUUUCUCAGCUUCCAGGCGACUAAACUAAGAAACAGAAAAGUGAUUUUCUCCCAGUCACACGGGUGGUUAGCACCCUGCCUCCCAGGCCCUGAGGACUUACUGCACUAACGGAGGGUUCUGACCUUCACGCUUCCAUGCACGUGUGCGUAUUGAGUUGCUAUAGAUGCGCUGACCUCUUCCUAAUUCCCACAGAGGGAGCAGUUAUGAGCAGUCAGGACAUGGUAUUUCCCUGAGCACUGCCCGCCACUAGGCGUUGUGCUAAUAAUCCACCUGCAGCAAUGGCGAGACCCUCCAAACGACCCUGCACAGAGGUGUUACUCUCCCCACCGCCCAGAUGAAGGAGUCAAGGAUCCAAGUAGUUAACACACUUGCGAAGACUCAAAACCAGUUCUUGCCCUGACGGUGUGGCUCAGUGGUUGAGCAUCGACCUAUGAACCAGGAGGUCACGGUUUGAUUCCUGGUUGGGCUCCAUCCCCAGUGUGGGGUGUGCAGGAGGCAGCCAAUCAAUGAAUCUGUCUCAUC